rnacentral:rRNA from 1 species
UACGGAGGGGGCUAGCGUUGUUCGGAAUUACUGGGCGUAAAAGCGCGCGUAGGCGGCUUUGUAAGUUAGAGGUGAAAGCCCGGAGCUCAACUCCGGAACUGCCUUUAAGACUGCAUCGCUAGAACGUCGGAGAGGUAAGUGGAAUUCCGAGUGUAGAGGUGAAAUUCGUAGAUAUUCGGAAGAACACCAGUGGCGAAGGCGGCUCACUGGACUGGUAUUGACGCUGAGGUGCGAAAAGCGUGGGGAGCAAACAGG